rnacentral:rRNA from 1 species
GACGAACGCUGGCGGCGUGCUUAACACAUGCAAGUCGAACGGAAAGGCCCUGCUUUUGUGGGGUGCUCGAGUGGCGAACGGGUGAGUAACACGUGAGUAACCUGCCCUUGACUUUGGGAUAACUUCAGGAAACUGGGGCUAAUACCGGAUAGGAGCUCCUGCUGCAUGGUGGGGGUUGGAAAGUUUCGGCGGUUGGGGAUGGACUCGCGGCUUAUCAGCUUGUUGGUGGGGUAGUGGCUUACCAAGGCUUUGACGGGUAGCCGGCCUGAGAGGGUGACCGGCCACAUUGGGACUGAGAUACGGCCCAGACUCCUACGGGAGGCAGCAGUGGGGAAUGUUGCACAAUGGGCGGAAGCCUGAUGCAGCAACGCCGCGUGCGGGAUGACGGCCUUCGGGUUGGAAACCGCUUUCGCCUGUGACGAAGCGUGAGUGACGGUAAUGGGUAAAGAAGCACCGGCUAACUACGU